rnacentral:rRNA from 1 species
UGCCAGCCGCCGCGGUAAUACGGAGGGUCCAAGCGUUAUCCGGAAUUAUUGGGCGUAGAGGGCGCGCAGGCGGUCUUGUCCGUCAGGUGUGAAAGCUCGGGGCUCAACCCCGGACGUGCAUUUGAAACAGCAAGACUUGAGUACGGUAGAGGAAAGCGGAAUUCCUGGUGUAGAGGUGAAAUUCGUAGAUAUCAGGAGGAACACCGGUGGCGAAGGCGGCUUUCUGGACCGAAACUGACGCUGAGGUGCGAAGGCGUGGGUAGCGAACAGGAUUAGAUA